GUUCCUGGAGGCGUACGAAAACUGGAAAACUCGUUGGCAGCAGUGUGUAGAUGCAGAAGGGUGCUACUUUGAAAAAUUCUAAUUAGUGUACUAUUCUCAUGAAUAAAAAAAGAAAGUCCUACUACUUUCAGAACAGACCCUAUGUUCCCGAGAACCUACCGCAUUGAACUCGCUCCAUCGUGUCAUUCAGACGCAAGUCGCUGAGGCACUGCCAUCCCCUGCGUCACCCACGUACAUGUACGUUACAGCGCCUCUUACGCUAAAGCCGUUUCUCGCUCAUAUGCGCGACCGCCGCCAGCGCUAAGCAGCCCAGUCAUCAUUUUCUCGCCGACGUCCCGUACGCCCGGUUCACGCCCCAGCCUACCCACCUCCCUCUCACAACCCAUGGCGUACUCCGGAUAACCGCACCGUCUGCUACGCCUGCGGUAUCGCUGGGCAUGUUGCGUGCCACUGUCGCCGCUGUGUUGGGUAUUUUCGCGGCCCUGCUUCCUCUACGCCGCUGUUCGUUCGUGCUCCUCCUACAGUGUCCCUUCAGUCGGCGCAGCCGAUAUCGCACUGCGAAGCUGGGUACACGCCGCCGCCCUUUGCUCGUGCCGCUCCAGUUGCCCAUCGUCCGGAAUAACGGGUUCACUACAUCGACGAUAUGCGCACGUCCCCUCGGAAGUCUGAUGUUUGGCGCACACCCGAUCGCCGGCCUCUGUGCUUCCACUGCGGUGAAGCUUACCACCUGUACCGCCAGUGCCCAUACCGGCGCCUUGGACUUCGCGGCUUUUCCACAUACUCGCCGCCGCCCCGAUACGGCCAGCGACCCCGGGACAUUGAGGACUACCUCUCUCAGCAGCGCUUGCCACCGCCUGCCGGGCGGCAGUCGUGUUCACCGUCUCCGAGACGAUUUUCACCUCCGCCCCAGCGGUAUUCUACCGCGAGGUCACCCAGUCCCCGCCUGAAAACUAACUAAACCGAUCUUUGGGGGAGAGGUCACUGGCGAUCGAAGUGCUUUGAACACCCUCGACCGACGCAGACAGAUCCCGAUUCGACACCACCUGAACAGCACGACAGACUUUCUCUCAAUAUAGCAGCGACUAUUGACGGUUACGCUGUUACUACUUUAGUGGAUACCGGCGCAGACUUCCCUAUAUUAAGCGGGAAAAUGGCAACAUAGCUGAAGGAAGUAAUCACGCCGUGGUAUAACUAGCAGAUUCGGACGGCUGCCGGCCCCGUCGUUACCCCACUGGGCACCUGCACUAGAAUUGAAAUCCAAGGAUCUACAUUCGUAGCAUGUUGCCUUGUCUUACGCGAAUGCUCGAGCGACAUUAUUCUUGGCAUUGACUUUCUGCAGGAGUAUGGCGCUAUUAUUAAUCUUCAAGAGCGUUGCAUCACAUUCCCAGCCGACCGAGCAAUCGAUGCUCAGGUCAAUCAACGGCGUGCAGACGUACUUCGUGUUUCUGGAGGCAGUGCAACGCUCCCUCCAUGAACCAGUGUCCUCGUCGACGUCACAUGCUGUGGCUUACGCGAUGUCGAAGCGGUGGCCGAAACUACGUAAUUUGGAACACCUCCUUAGGCAAGGUGUUUGUGUGGCGAAGCUACACAGCUUCAGGAUGGCAAAUCGCAAUUGCUCGUUACCAACUUUAGUAACGAGCAUCGACACCUUUUCAACGGCACUUCAAUAGCGUUUGUACACGAAGUAGCAAAAGUUAAGAGCUGUUUCAUGUCCAAAGUAGUGGAGACAGCAGACAAGCCUCUGGGCCAUAUAGACAUCAAUUCUGAACUGUCUACAGAUAGCCAGACAGCACUGCGCAAGCUCUUGCAUGAAUUCUGGACCUGCUUCGCAAGUUCUUCAAAGGUACGCCAGACUCCCAUCACUAGAUAUAGGAUCACCACCUUCGAGGAUGCAUGUCCAAUACACCAGCAGCCUUACCUCAUGUCAGCAAAAGAAUGCGAAGCCAUACAUACACAGGUCUGGGAGAUGCUUGACGAUGGAGUCAUCGAACCUUCCAACAGCCUGUGGUUGCCUCCGAUCGUUUGUCAAAAAGACAGAACGCUCUGCUUUUGUGUAGACUACUGGAAGCUUAACACGACUAAAAAGGGCGUGUACCUGCUGCCGCGUAUCGACGACUUGUUAGACAGGCUACGGCGUGCCCACUAUUUUUCUUCUCUCAAUUUAAAAAGUGGCUACUGGCAAAUAGAGGUAGACGAAUGAGACCGCGAGAAAAAAGCCUCUGUGACUCCAGAUGGUCUCUAUGAAUUUCGAGUCCUUCCUUUUGGCUUAUGUUCAGCCUCGGCUACUUUCCACUGAAUGAUAAGACACUGUCCUCACUGGACUGAAGUGGCAGACUUGUCUUGUGUACCUUGAUGAUGUGGUCGUACUUUGAAACGUUCGAGCAGCAUCUUGACCACCUGCGGAGUGUUCUAGAAGCCAUCCGAUCGGUAGACCUCACACUUAAGCCAGAAAAGUGCCACUUCGGUUACAAAGAGCACAAGUUCCUCGGGCCUGUAGUAAGUGCCAAAGGGGACCGACCCGAUCCCGACAAACUUGCCGCUGUGGCCGCAUUUACAGCUCCUGCCGAUAAGAAGGCUGUCUGGCGCUUCCUGGGUUUGUGCGCCUACUAUCGCCGGUUUAUUAAGGGCUUUUCGAAGAUAGCGGAGCCUCUGACGACACGCCACUUGUCUGGCAUAAUGAGCAAUGGGCAGCUUUUGCCGAAUUACGACAGUGCCUACAGUCAGUACCCAUUCUUGCACAUUUUGACGAUGAUGCUGAUACAGAGGUGCAUACCGACGCCAGUAGCAUUGGACUUGGCACAGUGCUCGUCCAGCGUCAAGAUGGAGUGGGAAGAGUUGCAGCCUAUGCCAGCCGCUCACUGUCCUGUGCCGAGGUGAAUUAUUAAACUACAGAGAAAGAGUGCCUCGCAGUCGUGUGGGCGAUUAUCACGUUUCGCCCCUACUUCUAUGGUUGUCCCUUCAAAGUAGUGACGGACCACCAUGCUCUCUGUUGCUUGGCAAGCAUGCACAAUCCUUCAGGACGACUGGCACGGUGGAGCUUGCGGCUACAGGAAUUUGACAUCACCAUCGUUUAUAAGUCUGGCCGUAGGCACGAAGACGCUGUUACAUAGUCUCGCGCACCCGUUGAUCCUGUCAGUCAGGAAACGGAGGACGAUGACAGCUUCCUGGACACCAUUAGUUUGUCAGACUUGAUCAGACGGCACAGUGAUGACACUGAGAUUCAACCGUUCAUCGAUCAUUUAGAGGGCUGUGGCACAGCCAUACCACAUCAUACCCCGCUCGUCGACAUCCUUUUGUCUACAAGACAACGUGCUGUAUAAGAAGAAUGCCUAUUCAAACAGCCGUGCUUACCUUCUGGUGGUCCCAAGAGACAUGCAAGGUGACGUCCUCUUCGCUUGCUAUGAUGAACCCACAUCUGGCCAUUUAGGCUUCUCACGAACACUCGCUAGAGUAAGCAAGAUGUACUAUUGGCCUGGGCUUUCGGCAAACGCCAAACAGUAUGUUAAAGGCUGUCGUGAAUGCCAGCGCUGAAAGACACCUCCCGUUAAGCCGGCUGGCUUCCUUCAGCUAAUCAAAGCAGCUCACAUGCAUUUCAACCAAGUUGACAUGGACAUUCUCGGACCGUUUCCUCUUUCUGCCAAUGGCAACAAAUGUGUCAUCAUCGCGACUGAUUAUUUGCCAUGUUAUGCUGAGACGCAGGCGAUCCCACGAGCCACAGCUUCAGAGAUAGCACAAUUCUUCAUGCGCCACGUCAUACUGCAUCACUGUGCUCCUUCCACUGUCAUAGCAGACAGGGGGACAGCAUUCACUGCCCUGCUUAUGGAUGAAGUUUUCGAAUUAAGCAACACCAGGCAUCGAACGACAACUGUGUAUCAUUCACAGACCAAUGGACUUGCCAAGCGACUGAAUAAGACGAUCACAGACAUGAUCUCCAUGUACAUCAACGUCCAACACAAAACAUGGGAUUGGAUCUUGCCUUGCGUGACCUUUGCGUAUGACACCGCCGUGCAAGAGACGAUGAGAUUCACACCAUUUCGCCUUCUCUACGGUUGCAGAGUCCAGACAAUGCUGGAUGCUAUGCUGCCGUGUCAAGACAGCGACCACUUGACAGCCGACGCUGAUGAAUUUGCCGAGCGUGCCGAGGAAGCUCGGCAGCUCAAAUGGCUGCACAUCGGCCAGCGGCAGCAGAUGGACGCGCGCCGCUACAACAUCUGCCACAGGACGUGUCCUACAACACCGGAGACCAAGUUUGGGUGUGGACCCCUGUUCGUCACCGUGGCCUCUGUGAAAAUCCCUCGAAAGAAGUAUGAACAGGGAUCUACUGCAUAGGCAAUACUGGAAGGUGUUCAACAUCUAGAAAUAACUGCUCUUCAAACAAGAAGCAGUAGCAGAUCACGGAUGCGCUGGGGGGGAGGUGCUGUCGCUGGGCCGAUGUAGAAAGGACCCUGGCCAUCCAGCAGAGCAGCAG